rnacentral:rRNA from 1 species
GCAGUCGACGAUGAAGCCCAGCUUGCUGGGUGGAUUAGUGGCGAACGGGUGAGUAACACGUGAGUAACCUGCCCCUGACUCUGGGAUAAGCCCGGGAAACUGGGUCUAAUACCGGAUAUGACCAUGGGACGCAUGUCUUGUGGUGGAAAGAUUUAUCGGUUGGGGAUGGACUCGCGGCCUAUCAGCUUGUUGGUGAGGUAAUGGCUCACCAAGGCGACGACGGGUAGCCGGCCUGAGAGGGUGACCGGCCACACUGGGACUGAGACACGGCCCAAACUCCUACGGGAGGCAGCAGUGGGGAAUAUUGCACAAUGGGCGCAAGCCUGAUGCAGCGACGCCGCGUGAGGGAUGACGGCCUUCGGGUUGUAAACCUCUUUCAGUAGGGAAGAAGCGAGAGUGACGGUACCUGCAGAAGAAGCGCCGGCUAACUACGUGCCAGCAGCCGCGGUAAUACGUAGGGCGCAAGCGUUAUCCGGAUUUAUUGGGCGUAAAGAGCUCGUAGGCGGUUUGUCGCGUCUGCCGUGAAAGUCCGAGGCUCAACCUCGGAUCUGCGGUGGGUACGGGCAGACUAGAGUGAUGU